ACCAGACUCCUACGGGAGGCAGCAGUGGGGAAUAUUGCACAAUGGGGGGAACCCUGAUGCAGCGACGCCGCGUGAGUGAAGAAGUAUUUCGGUAUGUAAAGCUCUAUCAGCAGGGAAGAUAAUGACGGUACCUGACUAAGAAGCCCCGGCUAACUACGUGCCAGCAGCCGCGGUAAUACGUAGGGGGCAAGCGUUAUCCGGAUUUACUGGGUGUAAAGGGUGCGUAGGUGGCAGGGCAAGUCAGAUGUGAAAGCCCGGGGCCCAACCCCGGUACUGCAUUUGAAACUGUCCGGCUGGAGUGCAGGAGAGGUAAGCGGAAUUCCUAGUGUAGCGGUGAAAUGCGUAGAUAUUAGGAGGAACACCAGUGGCGAAGGCGGCUUACUGGACUGUAACUGACACUGAGGCACGAAAGCGUGGGGAGCAAACAGGAUUAGAUACCCGAGUACCA
rnacentral:rRNA from 1 species